GAUGAACGCUGGCGGCGUGCCUAAUACAUGCAAGUCGAGCGAACAGACGAGGAGCUUGCUCCUCUGACGUUAGCGGCGGACGGGUGAGUAACACGUGGAUAACCUACCUAUAAGACUGGGAUAACUUCGGGAAACCGGAGCUAAUACCGGAUAAUAUAUUGAACCGCAUGGUUCAAUAGUGAAAGACGGUUUUGCUGUCACUUAUAGAUGGUUCCGCGCCGCAUUAGCUAGUUGGUAAGGUAACGGCUUACCAAGGCAACGAUGCGUAGCCGACCUGAGAGGGUGAUCGGCCACACUGGAACUGAGACACGGUCCAGACUCCUACGGGAGGCAGCAGUAGGGAAUCUUCCGCAAUGGGCGAAAGCUUGACGGAGCAACGCCGCGUGAGUGAUGAAGGUCUUCGGAUCGUAAAACUCUGUUAUUAGGGAAGAAAAAAUGUGUAAGUAACUAUGCACGUCUUGACGGUACCUAAUCAGAAAGCCACGGCUAACUACGUG
rnacentral:rRNA from 1 species